rnacentral:rRNA from 1 species
UCUUCCCUCUGGCGGCGUGCCUAAUACAUGCAAGUCGAGCGAACAGACGAGGAGCUUGCUCCUCUGACGUUAGCGGCGGACGGGUGAGUAACACGUGGAUAACCUACCUAUAAGACUGGGAUAACUUCGGGAAACCGGAGCUAAUACCGGAUAAUAUAUUGAACCGCAUGGUUCAAUAGUGAAAGACGGUUUUGCUGUCACUUAUAGAUGGAUCCGCGCCGCAUUAGCUAGUUGGUAAGGUAACGGCUUACCAAGGCAACGAUGCGUAGCCGGCCUGAGAGGGUGAUCGGCCACACUGGAACUGAGACACGGUCCAGACUCCUACGGGAGGCAGCAGUAGGGAAUCUUCCGCAAUGGGCGAAAGCUUGACGGAGCAACGCCGCGUGAGUGAUGAAGGUCUUCGGAUCGUAAAACUCUGUUAUUAGGGAAGAACAAAUGUGUAAGUAACUAUGCACGUCUUGACGGUACCUAAUCAGAAAGCCACGGCUAACUACGUG